rnacentral:rRNA from 1 species
CACCGCGGUUAUACGAGAGGCCCCAGUUGAUAGGUGCGGCGUAAAGAGUGGUUAUGGAGUACACCCCAGCUAAAGCCGAAGACCCCCUAGGCUGUCAUACGCACCUGGGGGCACGAAGCCCCGUCACGAAAGUAGCUUUACUCACGCCCACCCGACCCCACGACAGCUGAGAUA